GACGAACGCUGGCGGCGUGCUUAACACAUGCAAGUCGAGCGGUAAGGCCCUUUCGGGGGUACACGAGCGGCGAACGGGUGAGUAACACGUGGGUGACCUGCCCUCAGCUCUGGGAUAAGCCUGGGAAACCGGGUCUAAUACCGGAUAUGACUCCAUGACGCAUGUUGUGGGGCGGAAAGCCUUGUGCGGCUGAGGAUGGGCCCGCGGCCUAUCAGCUUGUUGGUGGGGUGAUGGCCUACCAAGGCGACGACGGGUAGCCGGCCUGAGAGGGCGACCGGCCACACUGGGACUGAGACACGGCCCAGACUCCUACGGGAGGCAGCAGUGGGGAAUCUUGCGCAAUGGGCGAAAGCCUGACGCAGCGACGCCGCGUGAGGGAUGACGGCCUGGUGUAACGU
rnacentral:rRNA from 1 species